rnacentral:tRNA from 2 species
AGGCACGUAGCUCAGGGGUAGAGCAUCACCUUGACAUGGUGGGGGUCGGUGGUUCGAAACCACUCGUGCCUACCA